UACGGAGGAUGCAAGCGUUAUCCGGAAUGAUUGGGCGUAAAGCGUCCGCAGGUGGCGAUGUAAGUCUGCUGUUAAAGAGUCUAGCUCAACUAGAUAAGAGCAGUGGAAACUACAUAGCUAGAGUACGUUCGGGGCAGAGGGAAUUCCUGGUGUAGCGGUGAAAUGCGUAGAGAUCAGGAAGAACACCAGUGGCGAAGGCGCUCUGCUAGGCCGUAACUGACGCUGAGGAGCGAAAGCGUGGGGAGCGAACAGG
rnacentral:rRNA from 1 species